GCUGGUCACUGUGGGAAGGGGAACCUCCUCCUACCAGGAAGUCCCUCUCUUCCAAGAUUGGACUUCUGCUCCAAAUUCAGUUUCUCCUGUCCUCACUACCUACCAUAAGUCCUGCAUGGAGAUGGUUUUAUGAUCCAUGAAAGAUCCUGUAGAUGAGGGAAAGAGAAGAAUGUGGGAUUAUAAUGAAAAAAGAAGAUAACAAGAGCUGAGAAUGUGAAAGAAAAACUUCACUUCUCAUACACUAGAUCCCAGAGACCAUCUUCUUGUUUUCGUCCUGGGAGCUCAGGUCACUGUAGGUCAGAGGACCAUACUGCCUGUUGGACAGAUGCUGAGAACACACAGAUGGAGUUUCACACUCAGAGCAAAAAUCCAUCUUCACAACCCAGUCUGCAAAAGCAGGGUGCCGCUUAUGUGUUUGUCAGCAAGUUACGGUCACCUGGGAAGAAGAAAUGCUGAUAAAGGAAUUGCCAUCAGAGGCAAGGCUGUGGGGGAACAUUCUUGAUUAAUGAUUGAUGUGGGAGGGCCCAGCCCACCGUGGGUGGUGCCCUACCAUGGCAGGUCGUCCUGGGAUCUGUAAGAAAACAGGCUGAGCAAGCAAUGAGAAACAAGUCAAAUGCCCACCCAUCUAUUGCUUCUGCUUCACUUCCCGCCCCCAGGUUCCAGCACAGCUUCAUUGAUUUCCUGCCUUGACUUCUUUUAGUGGUGGACUAUGAAAUAUGAAAGGACGUAGAAACCAAAUCAACCCUCCACUCGCCUCCUUGCUUUGGAUUACAGUCUUUAUCAUGGUAGGAGAAAGCAAACAAACAUAAAUACGCUGGGUGAUUUUUUUUUUGUAUGAAUAGUUUCAAAUUUAGGAUUAUAAGAUUGGCUGCUUCAGGAGAUGGGAAAUUGAAAGAAGAACUAUUUUAUAAGGGCUCUCAGCUUUGCUAUACGGUGACGUGAAAGAAAUUAGCGACUCUGUGGCCUGUGAAGAGAAUAAAUACAUUAUUUUUCUCUCUGGUUUAGAUUGGUUAGACUGAUGGAGGCAACACAGAAAUAAAAGAAAGCAGACAGGCAUCUAUCUCCAGAAGCAGAAUAGGUCUUUAAUCAGAGCAACUGAAGGGCCGUAGUCUCCCCAGAGUGGGAACUGUGCUGCAGGGCUGGUAAGUGGUCAGAAGCUUCCACACGGGUUGUCAGUAAAGUCAGCUUUCCUGUCUAGGGAUUCUCUGUGUACCUGAGGCUUUAGGGCAUUAACCCUUCACUAGGAACCAUGAGAAUUCCAUGGGAUGACAGAUAUAAAGCCCCGAGCCUUAAUGAAUUGUUCACAAAAGUUGUCCCCAGACCAUCUUUCUUUCUUCAACACUGUGUGUUGGAAUAUACACACACAGUUCACACACACACACACACACACACACACACACACACACACUUGAACAAUGCCAAAAGACUUGGUUACCUGGAUUUCCCCAUAGCAACCUUUAGCUCUGAUCACCUAGGAGGCAAAAUCUCUGGGUAUAUCUGUUAAGAUGUUCCUAGAGAUGUUUAAAUGGGCUGAGAAGAUCCCCACCCCUUAAUGUCAGGAUGACCAUUCCAUGGGCUGGAGUCUCAGACAGUAUAUAUAAAAAGGAGAGAAUGAACUGAGUGCCAGGGGCUCUCUCUCUGCUGGAUUGGGGAUGCAGUGUUGCCAGCAGCCUUUGGCGCUCAUCUGCACACCUUCCUCAUCAGGACAGAUGGCACCACCCAAACUAGGUACCAAAUAAAUCCUGCCUUAAGCUGAUUUUGCCUGGUGUUUUGUCACAGCAAUGGGAAAAUAUCCUAGGUCUGUACAAUAGUUCAGUUGCUACCUCUGUCUAAUCCUGAUUCCCUUUCUUAAUAUUUCUGACUAAUAGUUGGAAUUCCUAACCCCAGCUCAGUAUCUGCUUCAGGAAAACCCAAGUCUAGCAGGCAUCAAGGAGGAGCUCCUGGGAGAACUCAGACAAGUUCUGAGAGGCUGAUAGAAGAGUUUAACACAGAAACCUGGAUUACCCAAAACAUAAUCUACACAUCAAAUGAGGUACAAGAAGAAAGGAAGAGUGGCCCUUUGCUCUGGAAAGACUCAAUGAAGCAGUAUUCAGCAAAACCAGAACGGGGAAGU